rnacentral:sRNA from 1 species
GUAGACUCAUCUACAUUGUGGAUUUUAGAAGCAUAGGUAAGAGUUGCCAUAAUUGCAUAGCUUGCUGAUAGACUAUUAUAGUUAUCUUUUGCAAAACGAGCGAUAUCCUGGAUAAUUUUUGAGUCAAAGUUUUUUAAUCGUUCAGGGAAAUGUAAAGAAAUUAAGUAUAAAUACUGACUAUAUUUUAUUAAAUGAUUAUAAUAUGGGUAGUUUGUUUUUGAUAUAGUUUUAUUGAAAGUAAAGCUAUCUAGUAAUUUAUCUGCGUCCUCAUCCAUUUUUAGCAUUUUAUAGCUAGCUGCUAAAUA